UAGCAUAUCACUAAGCGGAGGAAAAGAAACUAACUAGGAUUCCCCCAGUAACUGCGAGUGAAGAGGGAAGAGCUCAUCAUUGGAAUCUGGCAGUGUUGCACUGUCCGAGUUGUAGAUGAGGAGUAGUCCGUCUGGACUGCAUGGCGUCCAAGUACAAUAGGCCGUCAGUGGGACAUCAUAGAGGGUGACAAUCCCGUCCUUGACGCCAAUGUGCAAGUCUAUUACGAUGGCUAUCUCAGAGAGUCGAGCAGUUUGGGAUUUGCUGCUUAAACAUGGGAGGUAGAUUCCUUCUAAAGCUAAAUACAGGCGAGAGACCGAUAGAGAACAAGUACCGCAAGGGAAAGAUGAAAUAGCACUCUGUGAAGGGAGUCAAAAGGCGUGAAAUUGUUGCGAGAGAAGCGAUUCAAGUCAGCGUAGCUAGGCCCAUCAAGCGUCUUCGCUUUGGACUAGCUUUGCCAGCGGUCUUGUCCCUUGAAGAGACUUGACUUGUAAUAUGUCCAGCCUGGCGUGCACAGGCAGCCCCUUCUGGGGGCCAGUGGCAUGGCUGGUGGAAUGGCUUGCAAUCGACCCGUCUUGAAACACGGACCAAGGAGUCUAACAUGUAUGCGAGUAUAAGGGUGGCAAACCCGUAUGCGCAAUGAAAGUGAUUUUCGGUGAUUGAGAAUGGCCUGAUGACCAGACAAGCAAUAUAUGUCCCUCGUACGGCCAUUGCCCAAGUUCCGUGGUAGAUCCCACGAACAUGGAGUUGGAGCAUACAUGCUAGGACCCGAAAGAUGGUGAACUAUGCCUGGACAAAGCGAAGCCAAAGGAAACUCUGGUGGAGGCUUGUAGCGAUUCUGACGUGCAAAUCGAUCGUCUGAUCUGGGUAUAGGGGCGAAAGACUAAUCGAA
rnacentral:rRNA from 1 species